UGGGGAAUAUUGGACAAUGGGCGAAAGCCUGAUCCAGCCAUGCCGCGUGUGUGAAGAAGGUCUUCGGAUUGUAAAGCACUUUAAGUUGGGAGGAAGGGCAGUAAGCGAAUACCUUGCUGUUUUGACGUUACCGACAGAAUAAGCACCGGCUAACUCUGUGCCAGCAGCCGCGGUAAUACAGAGGGUGCAAGCGUUAAUCGUAAUUACUGGGCGUAAAGCGCGCGUAGGUGGUUCGUUAAGUUGAAUGUGAAAGCCCCGGGAUCAACCUGGGAACUGCAUCCAAAACUGGCGAGCUAGAGUAGGGCAGAGGGUGGUGGAAUUUCCUGUGUAGCGGUGAAAUGCGUAGAUAUAGGAAGGAACACCAGUGGCGAAGGCGACCACCUGGGCUCAUACUGACACUGAGGUGCGAAAGCGUGGGGAGCAAACAGG
rnacentral:rRNA from 1 species